rnacentral:rRNA from 1 species
CCAGCAGCCGCGGUAAUCCAGCUCCAAUAGCGUAUAUUAAAGUUGUUGCAGUUAAAAAGCUCGUAGUUGAAUUUCGAGAUCAAAUUGUUGGUCGUGCCUCGGUACGUACUGGCAAUUUGGUUUCUCCCUUCUGAAGAACCAUGAUGUCAUUAAUUUGGUGUCAUGGGGAAUCAGGACUGUUACUUUGAAAAAUUAGAGUGUUUAAAGCAGGCUCGCGCUUGAAUACAUUAGCAUGGAAUAAUGAAAUAGGACGUUUGAUUCUAUUUUGUUGGUUUCUAGGAUCGACGUAAUGAUUAAUGGGGAUAGUUGGGGGCAUUAGUAUUCAAUUGUCAGAGGUGAAAUUCUUGGAUUUAUUGAAGACUAACUACUGCGAAAGCAUUUGCCAAGGAUGUUUUCAUUAAUCAAGAACGAAAGUUAGGGGGAUCGAAGACGAUCAGAUACCGUCGUAGUCUUAACCAUAAACUAUGCCGACUAGGGGAUCGGAUGAUGUUAAUUUUUUAAUGACUCAUUCGGCGCCUUACG